rnacentral:rRNA from 1 species
UGGGGAAUAUUGGACAAUGGGCGCAAGCCUGAUCCAGCCAUGCCGCGUGAGUGAUGAAGGCCCUAGGGUUGUAAAGCUCUUUCAGCGGGGAAGAUAAUGACGGUACCCGCAGAAGAAGCCCCGGCUAACUUCGUGCCAGCAGCCGCGGUAAUACGAAGGGGGCUAGCGUUGCUCGGAAUCACUGGGCGUAAAGCGCACGUAGGCGGCUUUCUAAGUCGGGGGUGAAAUCCUGGAGCUCAACUCCAGAACUGCCUUCGAUACUGGGAAGCUCGGG